rnacentral:lncRNA from 1 species
UCCUCGUUGCUCGACACGACCGACUUUUCAUCACCGUCUUCAUCAUGAAGCUGCCCUUCGACUCCAAAGGCACCGAGUCCUACAUAGCCUCCCUCGAGGCCUCUCCCGUGUCGCCACGUGUCAACUUCAUCACCCUCCCAAAAGUUCCUGCCAUAGACAACCACAUCAGCCCCAACUCCUUCCGCAACCAGUUCAUCGAAAGUCACAAACCCCACGUCAAAAACGCGGUCGCCAAACUCACCGAGUCUGAGUCCGAUUCAAGGCCUCGGCUCGCUGGGUUCGUCAUCGACAUGUUUUGUACAACAAUGAUCGACGUGGCGGAUGAAUUUGGGGUUCCUACUUACAUGUUCUUCACUUCACCAGCUGGGUUUCUGGGGUUGUUGUUUAAC